rnacentral:lncRNA from 1 species
GGCUUCUUCGAGCUUCCUUUUGAGGCGCUUGAUCUCGGCUCGAUGGGUGGUCCUUAAUGGCACGACGGGAAUCUUCGGGCGUAGGCUCUCUGGGACUUUAUGCCUAAGGAUGUAUUCCGUUGAGGCAUAAUAAGUCUUCUCUUGCCCUUCCAACUCCUCUUCGGGCCAUAUUAGCUUCCGGGGAUGGCACAUAUCCCACAUCGACUUGACUAAUGCAACGGAGUCUUCG